rnacentral:ncRNA from 1 species
GGUUGACAAAAAAACAACGUUUUUUGAACGUUGGCGAUGCCAAUGGCCCUCGAAGGGGUGAAUAAAGCGAACGAGUGCGCUUAUGAAUAAUAAUUU